AUUUAAAAGAGGUCAGGCUCAGCUGCCUUUUCUGCUUGCCUCCUCCACUUUGCUCUUCAUCAUUUGGCCUUUUUCUGGCUUCCCACCUGGAGGACAGAUGGGAUAAGCAGAAGAGGAGCAGCUAGAUAACAACUGUGUUGAUCAAAAGGAAGAAAGGAAAGAAGAAAGAAAGGAAUGAUCAAGAAAAGAACAGAAAAAAAUCUACUACAGGAAUGGGUUUGAAAAGAGAUUGCCCAGUCUCUUCAGAUGACUGCAGCCACGACCGACAACUUGAUGCAACUUCAUGAGAGAUGCUGAGCCACAACCACCCAGCUAAGUCAUGUUCACAUUCCUAACCCUCAGA